rnacentral:rRNA from 1 species
UACGUAGGGUGCAAGCGUUAAUCGGAAUUACUGGGCGUAAAGCGUGCGCAGGCGGUUUUGUAAGUCUGACGUGAAAUCCCACGGCUCACCCGUGGAACUGCUUGGCAUACUGCGAGCCUUGAGCCACUUAGGGGCAACCGGAACAAACGGUGGAGCGGUGAAAUGCGUAGAUAUCGUUUGGAACGCCAAUGGUGAAAACAGGUUGCUGGGAGUGCGCUGACGCUGAGACACGAAAGCCAGGGGAGCGAACGGG